UACGGGGGGGGCAAGCGUUGUUCGGAAUUACUGGGCGUAAAGAGCGCGCAGGCGGUCGUUCAAGUCGCGUGUGAAAGCCCCCGGCUCAACUGGGGAGGGUCACGCGAUACUGAUCGACUCGAAGGCAGGAGAGGGUAGUGGAAUUCCGGGUGUAGCGGUGGAAUGCGUAGAGAUCCGGAAGAACACCGGAGGCGAAGGCGGCUUGCUGGGCGUGAUCUGACGCUGAGGCGCGAAAGCGUGGGGAGCGAACAGG
rnacentral:rRNA from 1 species